AAUAUUGGGGCGUAAGCGCGCGCAGGCGGUUUCUUAAGUCUGAUGUGAAAGCCCACGGCUCAACCGUGGAGGGUCAUUGGAAACUGGGGAACUUGAGUGCAGAAGAGAAAAGCGGAAUUCCACGUGUAGCGGUGAAAUGCGUAGAGAUGUGGAGGAACACCAGUGGCGAAGGCGGCUUUUUGGUCUGUAACUGACGCUGAGGCGCGAAAGCGUGGGGAGCAAACAGGAUUAGAUACCCUGGUAGUCCACGCCGUAAACGAUGAGUGCUAAGUGUUAGAGGGUUUCCGCCCUU
rnacentral:rRNA from 1 species